GGAUGGCAGCCUGUGCCAGGGCUCGACAACCACUGCAAUGACCACAUUUUCCCUAAUAUCCGAACUAAACCUCCCCGGCGCAACUUCAGGCCGUUCCCUCUCCUCCUGUCCCUUGUUCCGUGGGCCAGAGCCCGACCCUCGCCCGGCUCCUCCCUCCUGUCGGGAGUUGGAGAGAGCGAGAAGGUCUCCCCUGAGCCCCCCCAGCCGCUCCCGGUGCUCCAACCCCUUCCCCAGCUCCAGUGCCUUUCUCUGGACACAUAUAGCCCAUUUUCAGUUUCCAGGAACAAUAACCAACAAGGCGGUGGGAUUUUUGGGUUCCCCCCGACCCUUACUCUUACAUUCCCCUCGCCCCGCCCGACAUCCCCCCCUUCCUCAGCAGCCGCCGGGGCCGCCCCGCCCGAGACAGGUGGAGCGCUGAGGAGACGGACCCCGUGAGGAGGGGAACCGGCACCCCCAGCCGAGGAGAAGGAGACUUUUUCACAAGAAAGCAAGAAAAAGACGACGAUGUGCUCAAAACCCAACGAUACGAAUGCAAACAGAAGUAUGAGGAGUUUUGACUGCGCUGAGAGAGAAAAUUGGGAGUGAAUGGUCAAGCCCUUUGUCAAUAAUGCAGUGAGACAUCGGUACAACGGGAUCACACAGCACAGGGCACAGCUCUGAAGCGCGGGUUUCCCGCUGCAGACACUGCAACAGUAAUGUAUAUAGUCCAGUCUGUACACUGCAAUGUAUAAUACAAGAGUUAUUUUAUCCACACUGACCUUGCUGUUUCCAGGAACUACAGCCUCCACAUCUUUGGCUGUUGUUGCCCUUGAAAAUUACCAGGAGCACUGGACAGAUAGUACACGUUGGCUCUCCCUCUACUAAAUUUGAGGGCAUUUCUGCGUCACAAAUAGAAUAAAUUGUGCUAAAAGA